rnacentral:rRNA from 1 species
CCUACGGGUGGCAGCAGUGGGGAAUUUUGGACAAUGGGGGCAACCCUGAUCCAGCCAUGCCGCGUGCGGGAAGAAGGCCUUCGGGUUGUAAACCGCUUUUAGCCGGGAAGAAAAGGCGAGGGAUAACACCCUUCGUUCUUGCCGGUACCGGCGGAAUAAGCACCGGCUAACUACGUGCCAGCAGCCGCGGUAAUACGUAGCGUACGAGCGUUGAUCGGAGUUACUGGGGGUAAAGCGUUAACAGGCGGUUGAAAGCCCCGGGCUCAACCUGGGAAUGGCAUUGGAUACUGGCGGGCUUGAGUGUGGCAGAGGGGGGUGGAAUUCCGCGUGUAGCAGUGAAAUGCGUAGAGAUGCGGAGGAACACCGAUGGCGAAGGCAGCCCCCUGGGCUGACACUGACGCUCAGGCACGAAAGCGUGGGGAGCAAACAGGAUUAGAUACCCUGGUAGUC